rnacentral:rRNA from 1 species
UGCAAGUCGAGCGGUAGCACAGAGAGCUUGCUCUCGGGUGACGAGCGGCGGACGGGUGAGUAAUGUCUGGGAAACUGCCUGAUGGAGGGGGAUAACUACUGGAAACGGUAGCUAAUACCGCAUAACGUCGCAAGACCAAAGUGGGGGACCUUCGGGCCUCAUGCCAUCAGAUGUGCCCAGAUGGGAUUAGCUAGUAGGUGGGGUAACGGCUCACCUAGGCGACGAUCCCUAGCUGGUCUGAGAGGAUGACCAGCCACACUGGAACUGAGACACGGUCCAGACUCCUACGGGAGGCAGCAGUGGGGAAUAUUGCACAAUGGGCGCAAGCCUGAUGCAGCCAUGCCGCGUGUGUGAAGAAGGCCUUCGGGUUGUAAAGCACUUUCAGCGGGGAGGAAGGCGAUAAGGUUAAUAACCUUGUCGAUUGACGUUACCCGCAGAAGAAGCACCGGCUAACUCCGUGCCAGCAGCCGCGGUAAUACGGAGGGUGCAAGCGUUAAUCGGAAUUACUGGGCGUAAAGCGCACGCAGGCGGUCUGUCAAGUCGGAUGUGAAAUCCCCGGGCUCAACCUGGGAACUGCAUUCGAAACUGGCAGGCUAGAGUCUUGUAGAGGGGGGUAGAAUUCCAGGUGUAGCGGUGAAAUGCGUAGAGAUCUGGAGGAAUACCGGUGGCGAAGGCGGCCCCCUGGACAAAGACUGACGCUCAGGUGCGAAAGCGUGGGGAGCAAACAGGAUUAGAUACCCUGGUAGUCCACGCCGUAAACGAUGUCGAUUUGGAGGUUGUGCCCUUGAGGCGUGGCUUCCGGAGCUAACGCGUUAAAUCGACCGCCUGGGGAGUACGGCCGCAAGGUUAAAACUCAAAUGAAUUGACGGGGGCCCGCACAAGCGGUGGAGCAUGUGGUUUAAUUCGAUGCAACGCGAAGAACCUUACCUGGUCUUGACAUCCACAGAACUUAGCAGAGAUGCUUUGGUGCCUUCGGGAACUGUGAGACAGGUGCUGCAUGGCUGUCGUCAGCUCGUGUUGUGAAAUGUUGGGUUAAGUCCCGCAACGAGCGCAACCCUUAUCCUUUGUUGCCAGCGGUUCGGCCGGGAACUCAAAGGAGACUGCCAGUGAUAAACUGGAGGAAGGUGGGGAUGACGUCAAGUCAUCAUGGCCCUUACGACCAGGGCUACACACGUGCUACAAUGGCAUAUACAAAGAGAAGCGACCUCGCGAGAGCAAGCGGACCUCAUAAAGUAUGUCGUAGUCCGGAUUGGAGUCUGCAACUCGACUCCAUGAAGUCGGAAUCGCUAGUAAUCGUAGAUCAGAAUGCUACGGUGAAUACGUUCCCGGGCCUUGUACACACCGCCCGUCACACCAUGGGAGUGGGUUGCAAAAGAAGUAGGUAGCUUAACCUUCGGGAGGGCGCU